AAAUGGCGAAUUUUCUGUCCAGCAAAUACUACUCAGAAUCUAAAGUUUUAAAGCUAAAACUCAUCCUAGAAAUUUUUGUGAAGAAGUCCUAAUGGUAUAGAAAUUACUGAAGAGGCUAAUUGUAUUCAUCAUGUUGUAAUGGAAAUCUUUUACUGGAAGUGAGUAAGAUUCCUGCAGAUGUACAGGCUAUAGGUGGUCCUCUUAGUAUCAGUGGAGAGGUACUGUAGCUCAUGCCUUCAAUCUCAGUGGAUUGAGGGAAGUGUGUAUCGGGAGAGUGGAUAAAGAUGAAGUCAGUGACACUUGAUUUGGUUGAAUUCAUAUUUAAAAAAUGUUCAGCUAAUGGUACAGGAUGUGGUGUUUGUCAUUCAAGGGAUCUGUUGUUCAGGUUUAGUGAAGAUGUGGUUACAUGUCCUAACUGCUCCUCACACUUUCACUGGUUAUAGCAAGUUCCUGUUAAAGGUUGGAGUACAUUAGGUAUGUGUCAAUAUAAUUAUAUUGUUCUCUGUUCUAGUGUGGGCAGCAAUGUAGUGCCGCCUCCACGUGACAC